rfam:Glossina austeni unplaced genomic scaffold Scaffold12, whole genome shotgun sequence.
AAUUAUUACCUCACCCAGUUUACGACCGGUCAUGGCUGCUGGAGCACCAUUGAAACCCGCGCAAACCAGUAGAGUGUAGAGUAGUGCGGGGUAGUUUUAGUACGUGGCCGCCAUGGGUGGCGAAUCAUACGUGCUGCUGGUAGUGGCCAGUAUUAUCUUUCGAAGAUUUCUACCUCUACC